GGUCCUCAUCCGUCACUGGGCCCUUCGCCCACCCAGGGUGCCACUCUGAGAGAACCUCCCCUCAGUUCGGGAGUUAUUUUUUGUCGGCAACCUGAUAGAAUCAGUGGACUUAUACUGAAGAGCACCAGUUCAUGAGCUAGCCCCUGAAGGCCAAAAAAGAUCUUGAGAAAUCAUCUAAUGAAUCCGUUUCCCUUCUGGUAUUUAAUGCAAGGAUAUGGCAUCUCCAAUCUGUGCUCUGGAUCAGUUUGCUUUUGUGAUUUCUCUGUAUAUCAAAAUUUUGACUCCUAGGAUGAGGAAACUGAAGCACAGAGGAUUUUGGUAA